UCUGUUUUAUUUUGUCUAUUUAGCAUUUUUGCAGUUUUAAAUAUGUAAUAACGGUGGUUUAUUAUAACUGUUAAUUAUCUGUGAAAGUGCACAAAUGUGGUAAAAUGAAACAAAGCCACUGGACGUGGAUUCUCGGGAUCCUCUAAAAAAUCCACUGAAAAAAUUUCAGUAAAUGACCACCAUUUUACUAAGAUUAUAUUACAUUCCAUAUCAUCUCAUUUCAUUUAAUUCCAUCCCAGUUUAUUAAUGUCUCAAAUUAAUCAUCUUCAUUUCACUCCAUAUUAUCAUUUUUCAUAACAAUAAGAAUAUAAAUUAAAAUAAGACAUGACUUAAAGGUCUUAGUUACCAGGUCAUACAAUCCCUUAAAAUAUAUAUAUAUUUUAUAUAUAAGACUUUUUGGCGGGAACGCGAGGAGUGAAGUUGUGUGAUUUGUUUUAUUUUGUCUAUUUAGUGUUUCUACGGGUUUAAAUGUGUAAUAAUGGUGGUUUAUUAACUGUUUAAUAUCUGUGAAAGUGCACGAAUGUGGGAAAAUGAAACAAAGCCGUUCGACGUAACUUCUCGGGAUCCUCCAAAAAGUCCAUUGAAAAAAUCUCAAUAAACGACCACCAUUUUACUGAUCCCAUAUCAUCUCAUUCCAUUUAAUUUAAUUUCAUCCCAGUUGAUUAAUGUCUCAAAUUCUUCAUUUCACUCCAUUUCAUAAUUUUUCAUAAAAAUACCCAUAUCAUAAUUAUCAUCUCAUCUCAUUUCAAUUCAUUUCAUGCCAUGCCAUGUUUCAUAUUAAAUUAAUCAGCUUCAUUUCAUUUCAUAAUAUCAUAUUUCAUAAAAAAAUCUAUAAAAGGCUAGGCUGUAUCGUGUGAUACCUUUGCCUUUCCAUUUGGAAAAAUAAAACUACUACUACUUUAUAUAUAAUUGAAGACAUGAGUGGAUGAAGGGGUUAAGUACCAUUUUUAAAAUUUUUGAGUUUUUACAUUGAAUGAAGGUGUUAUGUGCCUAUAGACCAUAUUAUACCUUAAAACUCCGGGUUUAAAGGCUAUUUUUAGCAAUUGCAUGUGAUGAAGGAGUUAUGUACGAAGAAAAAAUACAACCGAGGCACUUGUCGAACCGGCACGCGGGACACUUCUUCCUGGUCGCGACGGUGACCGGACAGUUGCCGCCGCGCAGACACAUGUAGUUCUUCCGAUUCUGUACGGUCCGCUUGAAGAAGCCCUUGCAGGAUUCACACGAGAAGAUUCCGUAGUGGAAGCCGCUUAUUUUGUCGCCGCAGAUUGGGCACGGGCUGUAUAGGAUUAAACAAUUGAAUACAUGAGCGGAUGAAGGGGAUAUUUUGAGAAAAUCAGGAUAGAGACUAUUCGUGACAGGAAAUAUCGAGGGAAAGAGACCGCGCGGGCUCAGUCCGACAAGGUGGUUCGACCAAAUCCGCACCACACUAGGGAUCCCAUUCCACGAAGCCCUUCAUGCGGCCAAUGAUCGGAGGCGCUGGAG